rnacentral:lncRNA from 1 species
AUAAAAUUGAUAUAUGAUAUAUAUUUGCAAAAGUCAAUACAACUGAAGCACUAAGUAUUUACAUACCUUCAAAAAUUAAAUACCACUAAAACAUAUGUUUUUACUUACAAAAAAGAACGAGAACAUCUCCAAAGUCAUAAUUUUUAUUCUAAUAACAACCCUAAAAGCAAAUUUUCUUCUAGUAACUUGUGAAUUGAUGAACCAUAUUACCAGCUAUGUUGGUUUACUCAUGCUCAUCCUACAAAAAAUAUAAAUGAUAAUUAUAUUUUUUUAAUAAAUAAAGACUAUAAAGUACAGAAGUACAUACUAAAAGAGAGAAUUUGGGCAUUAAAAGAGAGAAUAUAGCCGUGACUAGAUUACAUUGGAGAAAAACUAAGCAAGAUGGAAAAAAUUAUAAUUGUAUAUGAAUUUUAUAUUCUGCUACUAGUAAGUAGUAAUCAGAUCACACUAGUAAGUAAUAAUUAUGAUAGUUAUUAUAAUUAUUUGAUCUUUUGACUCUAAAGAAAAAAAUGACUUAAAUUUUAAGAUAAAAGAAAACAUUUGAGAUCACUAAACUCCUUUUGGCCAUAAGAGUUUCAUAUACAACAAUUUCUUAUGGUAUUAAUGCUACCAAAAUAAUAAUAACAGUAAACAUGAAAAAUAUGAUAGUGAACAAUCUCAAAAAAGUUACAAGCCAAAAUAAUAAUAACAGUAAACAUGAACUCAUCAAAAAUAUGAUAGUGAACAAUCUCAAAAAAGUUACAACUAAGAACUAUAAAGCCGAGAAGAUUUAAGGGAGAGUAAGAAUAUUAUAAGAAGAUGACAAAAUAUGGAUAGUUCUUGGAGAAACAGGAUUCGAGCCACCCCUUUGACUUAGACCAAUUUGAUUAGACAUACUUCAGAGGUAAUAUUACAAGACUCUCCACAUAACUAAGCACAUCAUAUAUACAGUUAAAACAUGUGAAAAAGCACGGGAAAAAUAUGAUAUAUUGAUGUUAAACAUGAUACAAUGAGCUCUAUAUAUACACAUAACCUAUCAUACUCCUAAUACAUAUUGGAUUAGUGUUAUUUUACUAUUAUUUACAUAUUGUAACACUCCUCCUCAAGCUGGUGCAUAUAAAUCAUAUGUACCGAGCUUGUUACAUAUGUAGUUNNNNNNNNNNNNNNNNNNNNNNNNNNNNNNNNNNNNNNNNNNNNNNNNNNNNNNNNNNNNNNNNNNNNNNNNNNNNNNNNNNNNNNNNNNNNNNNNNNNNNNNNNNNNNNNNNNNNNNNNNNNNNNNNNNNNNNNNNNNNNNNNNNNNNNNNNNNNNNNNNNNNNNNNNNNNGACAGUUAAUCUCAAUGUGCUUAGUUCUCUCAUGGAACACUGGAUUUGACGCAAUAUGAAGAGCAGCUUGAUUAUCACACACAAGUCUCAUCUGACUAACGUCACCAAAUUUCAGCUCUUUGAGCAACUGUUUGAUCCAAGCUAGCUCACAUGUCACCAUAGCCAUUGCUCGAUAUUAUGCUUUUGCACUAGACCGAGCAACCACAUUCUUAGUCGUAAAUACCCAGAAAAUACUUUAGUGUGCCCAGAUCCUUAGUCUGAAAGUGUUGAAAGAGAUGUNNNNNNNNNNNNNNNNNNNNNNNNNNNNNNNNNNNNNNNNNNNNNNNNNNNNNNNNNNNNNNNNNNNNNNNNNNNNNNNNNNNNNNNNNNNNNNNNNNNNNNNNNNNNNNNNNNNNNNNNNNNNNNNNNNNNNNNNNNNNNGACCACCAGAUAAAUACAGAGACGUGAAUCAGAAUGCCGAUAGAAUACAGAGUGAUCAGCUUCACUCCGAGUCAUGCCAAAGUCCUGGAUAACAGUGCCAAACUUACCAAACCAGGCUCGAGGUGACUGCUUUAAACCAUAAAGUGACCGGCGCAAGCGACAUACAAGGCCACGAGACUCCUUCUGAGCAACAAACCCAGGUGGUUGCUCCAUAUAAACUUCAUCCUCAAGGUCACCGUGUAAAAACACAUUUUUUAAUAUCCAGCUGAUACAGGGGCCAAUGGCGAACAUCAGCCGAUGGUUAGAGUAGCCAAUGUUGAAUUUUGUGGUCUUACUCUAACCACUGCAUGCCAUUUCUCAUUUUGAUCAUGUUUAACAUAAUAGACAGAUUGAGCUUGUGAGCCUAAAAUGAAUGGAUCAUACGUGAAAUGAAGUUGUGUUACAUCUACACAUAUAAAUUCAUAUUCAUCCCUUUUAUAACCUCUACUUUGACUACGACCUUGAGGAGGAACUUCAAACCAAUCACAUUGGAAUAAUAUCACUGAAUUAUAAUCCAAAUAUUGAAUCUCUAAAAUCUUUAUUAUCUUUCCAUAAUAAUCAAUAUUUUCUGUAUGUUCAUCACUCUUCACAACCACACCACUAUUUUGAGUUUUCAAACCUAGCUCAAAUUUUGUUGUUCGAAACCUAAACUCAUUCAUGAUAUAUCCAGUAUGACAAUAAGCACGAGGAUCCGUACGCCUUGCCAAAGCUAGUAAUUCAUCGUAAUUCUAUCAUCACAUUUGCUUUUAACUGUACCACCUAUAAUAUUUCAAUAACAAACUCAUAAACAGUAAUACUGCUUAAAAAAUUAUAAUUCGAAAAUUAUCCUAAAUAAAAAUAAACUAACAUCAAAUGAUAUAAUUUACCUUCUUCUCAAACCAUAAAGCGAAUUCUUCCUUGUGCCUCUUGAAAAUAUUUCUAUUAUUCUCCUUCCUUAAUAUUUCUAAGUGUUGCCUAAGUAUUGUGCAUUUAAUAAAAAUCAAAACAAAUAACAUUACAAUAUAAUUGUAGAGAGUUUCAUCAGAAUAAAAGGAUGUAAACUAAGUGAAAUAUAUCUUACUCAAUCCAAGGUCUGAAUUCCUCACAAUUUUGAAGGAUGUAAAAAUGAGCUUGGUUGAUUUCAUGAGUAUUUAAGGUUAUCCAAGUUCCCCCUACUAAGGGCUUACCACUGACACUUAAAUAUAGAUAAGCCAUUGGAAUCUAUAUUAGAAGAAUCAAAAUUUCUAUCAUGACGAUUUUGCUUUGUCUCCAUAUCAGUUAAUAUUUGGAACAAAAUAUCAUGCACUCAUCUUCAAGAUAUCCCUCAGCAAUUGAUCCUUCCGGACGAGCUUUAUUUCGUGCAUAACCUUUCAAGGUGCGCAAAAAUCUAUGUCGUAAAAAUAUAUCAAUUUUGCACACAUUUUAAAUAAAAGAAUAGUUCGGCAGAGUAAGAAUCUAACCUUUCGAUGUAAUACAUCAAUCGAAAUUGAACGGGAGGACCACCCAACUUUGCCUCCAUUGCCAAAUGAAUUGCUAAGUGAACCAUAACAUCAAAGAACGUUGGCAAAAAUACACGCUCUAAUUUACAAAUUGUCACACGUAUACUUUUAUCUAGUUGAUCUAACUUCUCCACAUGCAACUUUUUAGCACACAAAUCACUAAAGAAUAAUGAUAAUUCAACUAAUAGAUCAUAUGCAUCCUUUGGCAAAAUUCCUUUGAUGAUUACUGGAAAAAUACGUUGGAAAAGAACAUGGUGAUCAUGACUUUUAAGUCCAAAAAAUACGUGCUUCCUUAACAUUGACACAAUGACUAAUGUUAGAAGCAUAAGCAUCAGGAAACUUGACUUCUUUGAUGAGCUGACAAAAUUGAAUUUUUUCAGUUUUAGACAUCGUAUAACUUGCUGGAGGAAGUAUGUACUUAUUCUCACUUUUUAUUGGAUGGAGGGGUUAUUUUAUUUUCAUCUCUUGUAAGUCCAAUCGAGAUUUUAAUGUAUCCUUUGUUUUUCCUUCAAUAUCUAAUAACGUUCCUACCACACUUUCACUGAUAUUUUUCUCUAUAUGCAUCACAUCCAAAUUAUGUCUCAACAAUAAAGUCCUCCAAUAUGGGAGUUCAAAGAAUAUGCUUUUCUUCUUCCAAUUAUCACAUCUUAUGGUAUCUCAUUUUCUUUUUUGUUGUGCUGCCAUCGCCUAACCCUUGUGAGGAUGUAUUAAGUUGUGCAAGCACAUCAUCUCCACUCAAAGCUUGUGGUUCAAGUCUUUCUUCCUUUGUGUUAUAAAAAAAAUUUAUUCCGACGAUAGGGAUAAUUUAUUUCCAAGAACAUAUGAUGACCCAUAUAGCAUUACUUUCGACCAUGUUUCAAGUAAAUGGAACAAGUAUGUAUAUAUAAAAUUGACAAGCUAAUUUACCUUUAGUUCUCCAGCCGAAUAAAAUACCAUAAGCUGAAAAAUCAUUAAUUGUCCACAACAAAGAAGCACGCAAGUAAAAGUUUUGUUUCAUAAAAGCAUCACAAGUCUCAGUUCCACUCUCACAUAAGAUUUUCAAGUCAUCUACCAAGGGUUGAAGAUACACAUCAAUAUCCAUUCCAGGGCCUUUUGGUCGAGGAAUAAGCAAGGACAACAAAAUAUUUGAUUGUUCAUGCAUAGCCAUGGGGGGAGAUUAUAUGGGAUCAAGACUACUGGCCACAUGAUAUAGGCAUUACUCAUUGAACCAAAAGGAUUAAAGCCAUCUGAAGCGAGCCCGAGCCUUAUAUUACGUGUCUGAAGCAAACUUGGAUGCUUUUCAUCAAAAAAUUUCCACGCCAAUGAGUCAGCCGGAUGUCGUAAAACCCCAUCAUCGACACACUUAUUUUUAUGCCACCUUAUAUCUUCAACAGUACGUUUGUCAUAAACAAUCGCUGUAACCUUGGUAUUAUAGGAAAGUAUCUAAGAAUCUUUCUAAAAAUUCCUUUAUCUCUCUUAUUCGAAUUCCCUGACGCAACCUCUUCAUCAGUAUGUUCUCCUUUUCUCAUAUUCCAUCUUUUCUCGCCACAUUUAGGGCAUUGCUCAAGACCACUAUAUUCCUUUCUAUAUAAAAUGCAAUUAUUAACACAUGCAUCUAUCUUCACAUAAUCUAAACCCAAACCUUUAGUUAUUUUUUCAACUUCAUAAAUAGAAUUCGAGAGCAUAUUUUCUUUUGGUAAAACAUCACUAAGUAAUUUCAAUAAAGAGACAAAUGAGGUAUUACUCCAGCCAUGCAGACAUUUCAUUUGAAAAAGACGCAUUACAAAAGAGAGUUUGAAGAACUUUUCACAAUCAGGAUAUAGCUUUUGCUCUGCAAUUUUUAAUAAUCUAUAGAAAAUUUUAGCUUCUGUAUUAGACUCUUCACAAUUAAAAUCAAGCAUCAUCAUUCCCUAUAUCUGAAUCAGUACCAACAUUUAUUCCAUUAUCUGAAGAUGAAUCUGACUCAUCAUGAUAAAUCCACCUAUCAUAUGUUGACUCUAUUCCUCGUCUAAGCAAAUCUAUCUUUACUUCUUCUCACGUUUUCUAAAGAACAUUGUUACACUUAACACACGGACAUUGGAUUCUUACACCAACAUUAGGAUUAGAAAAUGUGAAGUUCAAAAACUGUUCCGCACCAUUCAAGUAUUAAGGUAAUGUCCUAUUCUUAAUGAGUAUCCAGCUCUUAUCUAUACUUACCUACAAUAAAAUAUAAAUGUAAAAUUAUAUGUUUAACUUUUUCGCUAUUUCUUAUUGUCUAUUAAAUUCGAAAAUAUUAGAAUAGAGAAAGGCUUAGAAAUAUAAGCCUUUGAGUUGAACUGGAAAGCCAGAUCAUUAGAGAAAAAUUAAAUAUUAUUGGACAAUAUUAGGCAAACAAAAGAUUCACUUUUAGCUAUGUAUGUUAGGCAAACAAAAUUUCGACUUUGAGACUCAUGUUUAUUGUGGGAGUCACAAAACUGAUUACAUCAAAGGAUAAGUUAUUCAACAUAUCUUUUAUUUACUUUUUAUCUAAUGAGAGAUAUUUAUAUAGUCAAAUUGUUUAUUAAAUUUAAAAGGAUAAAUAUCUUCACUAAGCAUAAAAAUAACCUCGAAAUGAUGGCCUUUGGAAAUUGAUCAAAUUACAAUAAUAACAACAAUUCUGUAAAAUCUCAUUCGUAAGGUUUGGGAGGAUAAAGUGUACCUAGACCUUACUCCUACCCUAGAGGAGGCAGAGAGGCUAUUUCCGGAAGACCCUCAAUUCAGAGAAAAUAUUUAUAAAAACAUAAGUUUUGAAAUAACUUUCAUGUGGAGUUCAUUAAAAGCAAACUUAAAUAAUUAAUUUUUUUUUAAAAGGAGUGACUUCAUAUAAUGUCUGAAGUGAUAGACAACAACUUCAACUCAAUUUUAAAGUUGAGAUUUUUAUAACGUCUGAAGUGAGAUUUCAAGAGAUGAGUGACUUCAUAAAAUGUCUGAAGUGACUCCAUCCCUGUACCUCUGUUUUCAACUAAUCUAGUAUUAUCAAAAGCGAAAAAUGUAAAAAAACUCUAAGAUUUAUUGGGGCUUUAAGCGCAAAGCACAAAUAAAACAAGGCUUUAUUAAAGAAAGGUACAAAUGGAGAAAAACUAUAAAUAUGUAUGUGUUCUUCAAACUAAUAUCUACAAGCAUGAUUGCAAAAUAUAUGGAGAAAGAAACUGACGAAAAUUUAUGAUAAAGUGAAAUAUUAAUUAUUUAGUGUCGCUUCUUUAGGAUUGCACCCAUUGGCAAGAAAAAUUAUGCCUUAGAGCCUUGCUGAUAUUAAUGAAGUGCCCACUAAGCAAGGCGAAACGCUCAACAUGUUUGAGUCUCGCUUCAGGACUUAAGCGCGCCUAAGUCAUUUUACAACAGAUUUACUUCACCAACCAGUAAAAUGGAUUACGAUUACGUACUUUCGUAAAGCUAAUAUCUAUAUAUUCAUCAUAUUAUAAAAUAAAGAGAGGAUGGGCGAAGGGAACCAAUUAGCACAAGAAAUACCUAUCUGAUUCGCAUCAAUAUGAUAAAAUUGACUUCUACGAUGCAGAGUUAAAUAACAAAAAAGACAAUCAUAAAUAUUGGUUUGAUUGCAGAAGAUGAACAAAAAAAAGGAACAAUAAACUAGGCAGCCAUUAAAGAAAAACUUAUGCAAAGUUUAUUUAUGUUGCAUUAGGAAUUAGAGGUGAAAUCUGGCAUAGAAAAUUUUAAGAUACCCAUACCCAUUAAGUACUUCAAUGAUAAAAGACAACGACAAACAUUGGUAUUUCCAUAUUUUAGUGAAGCAAUCGGGUAAAGCAAUUAAAGAUUGAAUUCUUACCGGUUCUUCUUCGGUCAGCCGCAACAGGAAGCAACAAAGAGGAUGCAGCAGCAACAGAGAACGCAGCAGCAGCAGAGGGGCUUUUUCAAGGAAACUGAUAACAAAAACCCUAGCUAGAAUGGUCAAUAGUGAGGGGGCUAAAUACCCGG